rnacentral:rRNA from 1 species
GACGAACGCUGGCGGCGUGCUUAACACAUGCAAGUCGAACGGAAAGGCCCUGCUUUUGUGGGGUGCUCGAGUGGCGAACGGGUGAGUAACACGUGAGUAACCUGCCCUUGACUUUGGGAUAACUUCAGGAAACUGGGGCUAAUACCGGAUAGGAGCUCCUGCUGCAUGGUGGGGGUUGGAAAGUUUCGGCGGUUGGGGAUGGACUCGCGGCUUAUCAGCUUGUUGGUGGGGUAGUGGCUUACCAAGGCUUUGACGGGUAGCCGGCCUGAGAGGGUGACCGGCCACAUUGGGACUGAGAUGCGGCCCAGACUCCUACGGGAGGCAGCAGUGGGGAAUAUUGCACAAUGGGCGGAAGCCUGAUGCAGUAACGCCGCGUGCGGGAUGACGGCCUUCGGGUUGUAAACCGCUUUCGCCUGUGACGAAGCGUGAGUGACGGUAAUGGGUAAAGAAGCACCGGCUAACUACGUG